GGCCCAGUAGCGGAUGGUCCGCGCCUGGACUCAAUAAUCGGUACCACAUUAUAUCUUUGUAGGAGUCGCUCGUUCGAAUCGAGCCUGGGUCA